AAGAUCAAGCCGACACAGACA
rnacentral:misc_RNA from 1 species